AAAUAACAUUGAAAAUCUAGAAUUAGAUAUACAUUACAGUACAAUUAGGAUAAAUUAUUAUACAGAAAUCUAUAACCCUGCAAUUAAUAUAGGAUAAAAUAAUAAACCACACAAAUUAAUAAAUACAUCUUUCGAAAAAAAUAAAUCAUUAAAAGAUAUUGAAACAAAAUUUAAGAAAUAUCCACGCACAAAGAAAAAUUAAAAGAUAUUGAAACAAAAUUUAAGAAAUAUCCACGCACAAAGAAAAAUAGACUCAUUAUACAUAUAAUAGAUCUAUUUCAUAAGUUAGUUAUCCGCAUAUCUAUUUUACAAGUUAGUUAUCCGUACCCCUUACAAAUCAACCCAAAUUACACUAUAUUUCCCAACUUGGGUUAUCUGGUUCCGAUUUAGUCAAAGUCAUUUUAAGAGAUUGCAAAUUUCUUGAUAAUGUAUUAGAUACCAGUAUAAAACCUCAUAUAAAUCGUCUUAAAAAUAUAUUGGGUAGUGAUGAAAAUGUGGUUAAGGUUAUAAAGAAACGUGCUUGGUUGAUGACUUUCAAUAAUCACGCAACUAUGGAAACCAAUCUAAAUUUAUUGAGAUCAUUUGGAUGUUCAAAUGAUAAGAUCAAGAAUGUUGUGCUUAGAAAUCCCAACAUUCUUAACACUAGUACCAAGAAGCUUGAUGAAAUGCUACAUAGGGUGGAAAAUGAAGUUGGCGUUUCUCCUGAUUCGUCACAGUUUCUCCACAUCAUUAAUGUGCUUUCUGGCUUGCGUCAAGAGACUGUAGACAAGAAAUUUGAAAUCUUCAAGAGUUUUUGGGUGGUCUGACACCGAUAUUCUCAACAUCUUGCAAAAACUACCUUACUGUCUCGGACUAUUGGAGGCACGGAUUCAAAUUCAUUGACAUUUUUGAUGAAAGAAGUCAGAUACAAGUCCACUUACAUCGCUUCUCAACCUUCACUUUUAUCAUACAAUUUGGAGAAGAGGCUAAUACCCAGAUUGAUGUAGAAACUCUUUGAUACCUUGAAGAUGAUACGUGUGAGAAUAUGGGAAUGAAUUGUUUCCCCUCUGUUGGAAUAUGUUCAACUUACGAUUGGGUAAAUUACUUAUGCGUUUCAAGUCAUACAAGACAGUUUUCUUCAUCUAUUGUACACAGCCAUUUAUGCAAGAGGUUGUUUCCACGGUUUGAACUCAUGACCUCCCUGAUCACGUGACAACAACUUCACCAGUUACUCGAGGCUCCCAUUCUAUUGAAUAAUGGUAUAAUUGGAAAAUAAUGUGUUCGACUAUGUUUAGCAAGUUGGUUUGUGCAAGGGAAUGUUUACUAGGUUCCUAUAAUUUACAAUAGAGCUAUGUCCCUUUGAAAAAAUUGAGUUAGAUUACUCACAUAAAAGGGAAUGUUUCAGAAA